rnacentral:rRNA from 1 species
UACGUAGGGUGCAAGCGUUAAUCGGAAUUACUGGGCGUAAAGCGUGCGCAGGCGGUUUUGUAAGUCUGUCGUGAAAUCCCCGGGCUCAACCUGGGAAUUGCGAUGGAGACUGCAAGGCUAGAAUCUGGCAGAGGGGGUAGAAUUCCACGUGUAGCAGUGAAAUGCGUAGAGAUGUGGAGGAACACCGAUGGCGAAGGCAGCCCCCUGGGUCAAGAUUGACGCU